AGCCCAAUCCAGCCAAUUUUUUCUAAUGAAAGUGAAUCGAAAUGUAGAUGCUUGCUCUCUGUUCUAACUACAGGCUGAUUGUUAGUCCAAAGUCUUGGCAGGCCUUGCUAAAACUGUCCAUAAGUUGUUGAAGGUCUUCAGCAGAGUGAGCAGUGACGGCAGCAUCAUCAGCGAAGAGGAAAUCCCGUAAACCUUUCAGCUAGACUUCAGACUUUGCUCUCAAUCUAGAGAAAUUAAAGAGUUUUCCGUCUGAUCUGGUCCGGAGGAAGUUGGCUGUGAGACCAUGAGAGAAAGGCCGGAAUUUUAACAGAAUAACAGAGGUGGAAGAGACCUUGGAGGUUUUCUAGUCUAACUCCCUGCUCAAGCAGGAAACCCUGUACUAUUUCCAACAAAUGGCUGUCCAAUCUCUUAAAAACCUCCAGUGUUGGAGCAUCUACAACUUCUGAAAGUAAGUCGUUUAAUGAUUGAUUGUUCUGUCAGGAAAUUUCUCCUUAGU